rnacentral:rRNA from 1 species
GUGGCGCACUGGUGAGUAACGCGUGGGAAUCUGCCCAGCAGUGGGGGAUAACCUCUGGAAACGGAGGCUAAUACCGCAUACGCCCCUCGGGGGAAAGGCUUGCUGCUGCUGGAGGAGCCCGCGUCGGAUUAGGUAGUUGGUGGGGUAACGGCCUACCAAGCCUGUGAUCCGUAGCUGGUCUGAGAGGAUGAUCAGCCACACUGGGACUGAGACACGGCCCAGACUCCUACGGGAGGCUGCAGUCGAGAAUCUUCGGCAAUGGGGGAAACCCUGACCGAGCGACGUCGCGUGGUGGAUGAAGGCCUUCGGGUUGUAAACACCUGUUGGGGGGGAACAAUAACGAGUGAACCCCUGAGGAAGCACGGGCUAAGUUCGUGCCAGCAGCCGCGGUAAGACGAACCGUGCAAACGUUACUCGGAAUCACUGGGCUUAAAGCGCACGUAGGCGGCGACAUAAGUUAGAGGUGAAAUCCCACGGCUCAACCGUGGAACUGCCUCUAAUACUGUGUUGCUUGAGGGAGAACGGGGCAUUCGGAACUUCCGGUGGAGCGGUGAAAUGUGUUGAUAUCGGAAGGAACGCCGGUGGCGAAAGCGGAAUGCUGGGUCUCUUCUGACGCUGAGGUGCGAAAGCUAGGGUAGCGAACGGGAUUAGAUACCCCGGUAGUCCUA